rnacentral:lncRNA from 1 species
CUCUAAUAGGCUUUUUUCCUCUUGUGACAUUUUCCUCUCUCUGUGUCCUGUCCUGGUUUUCCAAUUGCACAUAUGUAACUGCUGGACAUGGUCCUGAGUGCAGAGCUGGGGAGCAAAGGAGUAUUCACAGCCAGCUCAGAAUAUGAGGAAUGGCAAACAGCAUUGGAUCCUAGCAGACAGUGAAUCGUCGUUGCAGCUAGAUGCCAGGAAUACUCUCUUCCUUAUCGUGAAUGAUUCCCAGGCUUUCCACCUGCCAGGACAUUUGGGACCAGGUGAAACUGUGGAAAGGUGCUCUGAGGAAUUCCCUUCCUUUUAAAAACCUCAAGAUCCUGCUUAGUUCACUACAAUUUGGUCUCACUGCCAAUAAUGAAAUUAUGCAACAAUUGUAGAAAAUCUUCCCCGGGACGAAGACUCUGCAUUGUGAUUUAUUUGUGUUUUCUCUAAUCUUUACCACAAACACAUCGCAUUAGUAACCUUACUCCCAACAUGUAGAGCUGAGCGGAGGCCACGGGGACCAUGUUGGGUUUAUACCGCUAACAGAGGCUAAGAGAGGACGGCCCCAGAAAUCAAGCUCAACUCUUCCUGUUGACAAAACCCAGACUCUUCCCAGUAUCUUUCACAAAACCCUAAAGGCUGGAAGCCUUUCCAUGUUGAUAUUCCUCAUUAUAUGCUUUUAUUCCCAGCUAAGUAGCCAUUAAGUCAAUAAAUAUGAAAAAAAAAAAAAAAGCCCAUGAUGUAGCACAUUUUAGUCAUAAGGCCGCGGAAACUAGAGAUAAAACCUCUCACUUCAUACUCAUGGAAAAAUAAGUUCAGUGGAUCGUCCAACAUCCUAGAGGAGUCCAGGGGCAGGGGCAGGACUGGAACCCCAUUUUCUUGACACCAAAUCCAUUGUUUUCUCCCUCCGAGUAACAGGGCCCCCAGAGACGCGUCUUCUUUCUUCUUUACCGUCGGCUACCAGGUCAAGUUUGAACUUCCAUUGGCUUCCACACUUAGAAACGAUAUUUCACAUCCAUCCACAGCCACCACCUCUCCUGAAAUAAAGGGAAAAAAUAAAAAGGAAUUGGAGACUACUCUUCAGAGACUGUAAAUUUCCAUGGAAGCAUUAACACAAUCUAUUAGGUCACAUUAUCCUCAAUUGUGCAGAGGGAGGAAGCCUACUCCACAACGUGAUUUCACGGCGUUUUGAUGUGCGAUUUGCCCGACACGAUGAUGAACGCGAGGACUGAGUGAUGGGGGGCAUGCGAAGCCUACAGCUCUCCUGCGAGGUUUACUUCCCAGGCUUAAAUGAGCUCAGCGCUCACGAACGAUUUGCCUUGACACUGGAAUCCAAUUGGAGUCUGGAAUUACUGUAACUGUUUUCGGCUUGGGUGAUUUAAUCAGCAAAUCUUCAAUAGUGUAAUAUGCAUGUACCGAACGGAUUCCAGACUGAACAGUCUGAUUUACACACGCUCCUUGCAGACAGC